rnacentral:rRNA from 1 species
UACGUAGGGGCCGAGCGUUGUCCGGAGUUACUGGCGUAAGCGCGCGCAGGUGGCCCAUUACGCCCGGCGUGAAAGCCCCCGGCUCAACCGGGGAGGGUCGUCGGGUACGGGUGGGCUUGAGGGCCAUCAGGGGCUGGUGGAAUUCCCGGUGUAGUGGUGAAAUGCGUAGAGAUCGGGAGGAACACUCGUGGCGAAGGCGGCCAGCUAGACCAGUUCUGACACUGAGGCGCGACAGCGUGGGGAGCGAACAGG